rnacentral:rRNA from 1 species
GCCUUUGAAAGAUGGUUUCGGCUAUCGCUUACAGAUGGGCCCGCGGUGCAUUAGCUAGUUGGUAGGGUAAUGGCCUACCAAGGCAACGAUGCAUAGCCGACCUGAGAGGGUGAUCGGCCACACUGGGACUGAGACACGGCCCAGACUCCUACGGGAGGCAGCAGUAGGGAAUCUUCCGCAAUGGACGAAAGUCUGACGGAGCAACGCCGCGUGUAUGAAGAAGGUUUUCGGAUCGUAAAGUACUGUUGUUAGAGAAGAACAAGGAUAAGAGUAACUGCUUGUCCCUUGACGGUAUCUAACCAGAAAGCCACGGCUAACUACGUGCCAGCAGCCGCGGUAAUACGUAGGUGGCAAGCGUUGUCCGGAUUUAUUGGGCGUAAAGCGCGCGCAGGCGGUCUUUUAAGUCUGAUGUGAAA